rnacentral:rRNA from 1 species
AUGAACGCUGGCGGCGUGCCUAAUACAUGCAAGUCGAGCGAACGGACGAGAAGCUUGCUUCUCUGAUGUUAGCGGCGGACGGGUGAGUAACACGUGGGUAACCUACCUAUAAGACUGGGAUAACUUCGGGAAACCGGAGCUAAUACCGGAUAAUAUUUUGAACCGCAUGGUUCAAAAGUGAAAGACGGUCUUGCUGUCACUUAUAGAUGGAUCCGCGCUGCAUUAGCUAGUUGGUAAGGUAACGGCUUACCAAGGCAACGAUGCAUAGCCGACCUGAGAGGGUGAUCGGCCACACUGGAACUGAGACACGGUCCAGACUCCUACGGGAGGCAGCAGUAGGGAAUCUUCCGCAAUGGGCGAAAGCCUGACGGAGCAACGCCGCGUGAGUGAUGAAGGUCUUCGGAUCGUAAAACUCUGUUAUUAGGGAAGAACAUAUGUGUAAGUAACUGUGCACAUCUUGACGGUACCUAAUCAGAAAGCCACGGCUAACUACGUG